CGUAGGUGGCAAGCGUUAUCCGGAAUUACUGGGCGUAAAGCGCACGCAGGCGGCUUUUCAAGUUCGACGUGAAAGCUCCCGGCUUAACUGGGAGAGGUCGUUGAAGACUGAGAGGCUUGAGGCAAUGAGAGGGGUGUAGAAUUCCCGGUGUAGUGGUGGAAUGCGUAGAUAUCGGGGGGAAUACCAGUGGCGAAAGCGGCACCCUAGCGUUGUUCUGACGCUCAUGUGCGAAAGCGUGGGGAGCGAACGGGAUUAGAUACCCCGGUAGUCCACGCUGUAAACGAUGAACACUAGGUGUAGGUGAUGUGAAAGUUAUCUGUACCGAAGCCAACGCGUUAAGUGUUCCGCCUGGGGAGUACGGCCGCAAGGCUA
rnacentral:rRNA from 1 species